rnacentral:rRNA from 1 species
CCUACGGGAGGCAGCAGUGGGGAAUAUUGCGCAAUGGACGAAAGCCUGACGCAGCGACGCCGCGUGAGGGAUGAAGGUCUUCGGAUCGUAAACCUCUGUCAGCAGGGAAGAACGGUCACUGUGCUAAUCAGCAGUGAAUUGACGGUACCUGCAAAGGAAGCACCGGCUAACUCCGUGCCAGCAGCCGCGGUAAUACGGAGGGUGCGAGCGUUAAUCGGAAUUACUGGGCGUAAAGCGCUCGUAGGCGGUAUGUCAAGUCAAGGGUGAAAUCCCCGCGCUCAACGUGGGAACUGCCUUUGAAACUGGCAAACUGGAGUGUGUGAGAGGAUAGUGGAAUUCCAGGUGUAGGAGUGAAAUGCGUAGAUAUCACGAGGAACCCCGAUUGCGAAGGCAGCCUGCCGGGGUGCGACUGACGCUGAGGCUCGAAGGUGCGGGUAUCAAACAGGAUUAGAUACCCGGGUAGUC